rnacentral:misc_RNA from 1 species
AUAUUUUGUUAUAAUAGUUUACAUUCGUUACAUUAUGUUUGGUUUGGCCCGAAGGCAAUAGUUCACAGGUGUAAGAUAUAUAGAAGCAGCAAGCUGCAUUUUAUAAUGAUCCUUCCGCAGGUUCACCUACGGAAA